UCUAAAUAGCCACCACAUGUUUGUAAAUGCGCUAUACACCCUUUUCCAUUUCUAGGGUUCCUAAAACUCAAAGCAUCUUUCCUUUCCUCAUAUCACAUAUAGGUCACUUUGAGAGCUCAAAUUCUGGAAAGAAAAAUAGAUUUCAGUCGGUUCUCAGUAUGGUACAAUAGAAGAUUUAUCUUCUUCAAGUGCGACAUAGAGCAAAGUACGGUUUUCCUACUCUUGAGCUUCUUUUGUGAUUAAAGCAACAAUUCUUCAUAAAGGUUCAAGUGUUUUGUGCAAUCUAGGCAUUUACAAAAAAAAUUCCUGAACUCCACUAGUUAUAACAAUUGAUUUUAGAAGAUGAGAGAAGCAUACAACAGAAAGGAAAUAUCAUCAACAAUUCAUUCACCUCUUUGCUAUUUGUGAUCAAAGGAAGAUGAUAAAUAAUCGAAGGGACAGAGAUCUUCAAGCUAAAGAAGAAGGUGAUCAAAAAAUUCCCCCAACAAGCUCUUCAAGAUUAUGGUCAGGGCUAAAGAAUCCAAGAAUUGUUCGUGUUUCACGUGCAUUUGGAGGAAAAGAUCGACAUAGCAAAGUAAGCACUAUAAGAGGAUUGAGAGACCGAAGAGUUAGGCUCUCGGUACCAACAGCAAUUCAAUUGUAUGACCUUCAAGAUAGGCUAGGGCUUAAUCAACCUAGCAAAGUUGUGGAUUGGUUGAUUAAUGCUGCUCAACACGAAAUCGAUAAGCUCCCUCCUCUCCAAAUUCCACCAGAAGGCUUCAUCCAACUUCCACCGCAAGUUAAUAGAGAAAGUCUCGUGAGAUCAUUCUCCCAAUCUACCCAAAGAGAUGAGCCUAAGGAGAUACUAAGGGAGAAAGAAAACACAACUAAGGGUAAUGAUAUGGCAAAUGCACAAGUUUUACCUAGUCAUUUUUCGUUGCUGGGCUCUCUGAGUAAUACAAUGCCAUAUACUUCUUAUUACAAUUUGGAAGCAGCAAAUGCAUAUUUAUCUCAAAUAGGUGUUCGUUCAUCUCAUUCAAAUGAAGCUCAAGCUAUGUCUAUUCCAUCAUCGCGAAAUCUACCACUCGAGUCUCAGAUAGUUUUUUGUCCACCGGGAAUUAUGCCCUCAAUGUUUCAAUCCAAUGUUACAAACCCCAUGGAGUUCAAUGCCAAACAGUUUGGCCAGUUGCAAAUGGUGAAUUCAGUCUCACAAACCCCACAGUCUAAUUUGGAGAUAAAUUCUCUUCACCUAAGCAGUCCUCAGGAAAGACCUUCCAGUGAGUUCUAAGACGAAGAGUUUCAUUCUGGGCAUGAGUGUUUCUAAGUUAAAUCGACAUCAUAUUUCUUCUUUUUAUGUCAAGCUUGGUUGGCCAACUUCAUAAGUAUGCAGGGGACUAGCUAGCUGUUUCAUUGGAGAAAUCUGGUCCGUAGCAAGUAAUUGUUGAGAGGUAGCUAUAGCUGCGUGAGAUCCAAGGUUAUGAAAGGAGUCAUAUAUGGCAUGUGGGGUGCAAAGUGUGCAGGAAAAAAAAGAGUUGCAGAUUUUUUGAGGCUGCUCCUAUGUAUUGCUUUCCAUUACAGCAGCUCAGGCCCCUGUAGGGUUCAUGUGUAGAGUUGUGGUCCUUAAUUAUCAUCAAGGGACCACCCUCUAAUUCACAUCGCAUGGUUCUAUACUUUACUCUUUGAUCUUUCUGUAUGUGUCUAGUUUCAUCAAAAAACUUAGAUGUAGUCUUCUGUUUGUACAAGAAACAAAAAGUUAUCUGUAUCCUUUUUACUUCAAAAGCUUAAACUAGUUUGCUUACAUACCUAUAAGGAUUUUAGUUUCUCGCAUGCAAGAGGGUG